rnacentral:rRNA from 1 species
AAAAGUGAAAGACGGUCUUGCUGUCACUUAUAGAUGGAUCCGCGCUGCAUUAGCUAGUUGGUAAGGUAACGGCUUACCAAGGCAACGAUGCAUAGCCGACCUGAGAGGGUGAUCGGCCACACUGGAACUGAGACACGGUCCAGACUCCUACGGGAGGCAGCAGUAGGGAAUCUUCCGCAAUGGGCGAAAGCCUGACGGAGCAACGCCGCGUGAGUGAUGAAGGUCUUCGGAUCGUAAAACUCUGUUAUUAGGGAAGAACAUAUGUGUAAGUAACUGUGCACAUCUUGACGGUACCUAAUCAGAAAGCCACGGCUAACUACGUGCCAGCAGCCGCGGUAAUACGUAGGUGGCAAGCGUUAUCCGGAAUUAUUGGGCGUAAAGCGCGCGUAGGCGGUUUUUUAAGUCUGAUGUGAAAGCCCACGGCUCAACCGUGGAGGGUCAUUGGAAACUGGAAAACUUGAGUGCAGAAGAGGAAAGUGGAAUUCCAUGUGUAGCGGUGAAAUGCGCAGAGAUAUGGAGGAACACCAGUGGCGAAGGCGACUUUCUGGUCUGUAACUGACGCUGAUGUGCGAAAGCGUGGGGAUCAAACAGGAUUAGAUACCCUGGUAGUCCACGCC